rnacentral:misc_RNA from 1 species
GCAAACUUGGUCAUUUAGAGGAAGUAAAAGUCGUAACAAGGUCUCCGUUGGUGAACCAGCGGAGGGAUCAUUAUCGAGUUACAACACUCUCAACCCUUUGUGAACAUACCUCUUCGUUGCUUCGGCGGGCGGCCACCGCUUCGUGCGGUUGGCACCCGGCCCUCACAGGUGCCCGCCGGAGGUCUUCUACUCUUCUGUAUUUUGAAGCCUUUUCUGAAUAAACAUGAUUAAUGAAUCAAAACUUUCAACAACGGAUCUCUUGGUUCUGGCAUCGAUGAAGAACGCAGC